AGCUCUGAAAUAGAGCCAGAAACACUGAGGUUCGAUCCUGAAGUCACAAGGGCUGCAGCAGCAUCAGGACCUUGGACAGACAGCCUGCCCACAGCCACU